UCCCAGAUGGCUGAGUUCCUUAGAGUAUGGUGCUGAUAAUGCCAAGGUCACAGGUUCGAUCCCUGCAUGGUGGGAC